rnacentral:SRP_RNA from 1 species
GCCAGGCAUGGUGGUGGGUGCCUGUAAUCCCAGCUACUUGGGAGGCUGAGGCAGGAGAAUCCCUUGAACCCAGGAGGCGGAGGCUGCAGUGAGCCGAGAUUGUGCCACUGCACUCCAGCCUGGGUGACAGAGUGAGACUCUGUCUCAG